UCCUUUUCACCUGCAACGAAAAUGUAGUUUUGACUUUUCGUGACUGUGAAACCUCCGUACGCCAACUCGGUAAACAGUCCAGUUUCCCGUCUAUCUACCAAUACAGAUAAUGUUUGCAUUAUAUAUUAUAUAUAUAUACACGCACAUACACGCGCGCAGUCAUCUAGACGCAUCCAUAGCUGGAAGAUUCAUCAGAGUUGAGAGGAUACGAUUCCCAAUUUCUGAUAGUAUAUGCAGCAGAAGAGAAGAAGAUAUCGAGCAGGAAUAAGGUGUGGGAAUGGAGGUGAAAAGGCGGGCAGUGAAGAAUUUGGUGACGAAGCUGGGUUCGGUUUCGGAGCGGAGCCGGACGGAAGCCAUCUGCGAGCUGCGAAUCAUUUCGAAGAACGACGCGGAGAGUCGGCCGUUGAUCGCCGACGCCGGCGCAAUCCCUUUCCUCGCGGAAUCGCUAUAUUCCUCCGAUAAAGACUGCCAGGAGAACGCCACCGCCGCCUUGCACAACCUCUCUAUCUCAUCCAAGGAUGCGCUCAUAUCCACGCGCGGACUCCUCGACGCGCUCUCCCACGCCCUCAGAAACCCUAGCUCCGCCUUCACCGCCCAGUGCGCCGCCUCCGCCAUCUUCAGUCUCCUCACCGUGGAGGACUACCGGCCCAUCAUCGGCCACAAGCGGGACAUCGUCUUCGGCCUAAUCGACAUCGCGAGAAACCCUAAUUCAGCUUCUAGGUCAAUCAAGGAUGCGCUCAAGGCGCUUUUCGGGAUCGCGCUCUACCCUCUUAAUCGGUCCCAAAUCAUCGAGCUCGGGGCCGUCCCGGCGCUGUUCUCGCUGGUCUGCAAUGACGGUAGGGUAGGGAUUCUAGAAGACGUCACCGCCGUGAUCGCCCAAAUUGCAGGCUGCGAGGAGAGCUGGGAGGCGUUCAGAAAGGUUUCCGGCGUCGGAGUCUUGGUGGAUUUGCUGGACAAUUCCACCGGAUCAAGCAAUCGGACCAAAGAGAACGCGGUUUCCGCACUAUUGAAUUUGGUACAAUGCAGUGGGAAAGAGGUCACCGAGAGCAUCCGGGGACUGGUUUUAGGCGCAGUGGAUGGUAUUAUUGAAGUGGCGGAGAAUGGAAGCGACAAGGGGAGGAGCAAAGCCAUGGCAUUGUUGAAGCUUCUUGAUGUUAGCAGCUGUGAAUUCUAAGGGGUAAAGAUUCAAACGUUUUCAUGCCACUCUUCUUCAAGUUAUUUGUAGACUUAUAGCAGAGUUAUGUAAGGUCAGAGAGGAGUUUAAAAUAUGCGGUGAAGUGUGGAAGAAUGGAAGAUUAUGAACGCCCAGUUCAGGUGUACAGUUGUGUUGCUUAUCGUGUUUUGUACUGCUUAUAUGCUCUCUCAGUUUCAUACCUGUGCAACAAUCUAUGGCAUUAGUCAUUCUAAAAGACUAUCUCAAUCAUUAUCUUGUGAUCACUAUAGCAUUUGGUGCUAGGAAUUAGUCAAACUAAGUGGGGUCAUUGAGUUGAUUACAGCAGAACUCAACACUAUGAUCUAAGAGCUUGAGAGCAAUUGAAUUAUGAUGAAGCUUCAGUGACUGGUUUUGAUUCUUAAAGUGAAUGGAAUGAUGUCAGCAUAAUAUCUUCCAGACAGUGCAAUGUAAUAAGAUGAGCACUGAGCAGAGUAGUUUUGGGAUCUUGGAUUUGAGUGUUUUUGUUAUUAUUCUCUUUCCAUGGUGAUGCCAGGAUCAGCCAAUGAUAUUAGUUUAGUUGAUUCAACUUGUAAGUGAUUAGAUGAUUGGGGGCUAAUAUACUUUGUAAUGAAGUGAUUGAGGAUGUAUUCCGGUUCAACUAAAAGUUUAAGACUGCAGAUAUAUGUUUAUA